UACAGAGGUCUCAAGCGUUGUUCGGAUUCAUUGGGCGUAAAGGGUGCGUAGGCGGCGCGGUAAGUCGGGUGUGAAAUUUCGAGGCUUAACUUCGAAACUGCAUUCGAUACUGCCGUGCUUGAGGACUGGAGAGGAGACUGGAAUUUACGGUGUAGCGGUGAAAUGCGUAGAUAUCGUAAGGAAGACCAGUGGCGAAGGCGGGUCUCUGGACAGUUCCUGACGCUGAGAAGCGAAAGCAUGGGGAGCGAACAGG
rnacentral:rRNA from 1 species